GACGAACGCUGGCGGCGUGCUUAACACAUGCAAGUCGAACGGGAGUACUUUGAAAGCUUGCUGAUAAGUACUUUAGUGGCGGACGGGUGAGUAACGCGUGAGGAGCUGUCUUAUGCAGGGGGACAACAGUUGGAAACGGCUGCUAAUACCCCAUAAGCCGAGAGGUAAAAGGAGCAAUCCGGCAGAGGAGGUACUCGCGUCCUAUCAGCUAGUAGGUUGGGUAACGGCCGACCUAGGCGAAGACGGGUAGCCGGCCUGAGAGGGCGAACGGCCACACUGGAACUGAGAUACGGUCCAGACUCCUACGGGAGGCAGCAGUGGGGAAUAUUGGGCAAUGGGGGCAACCCUGACCCAGCGACGCCGCGUGGGUGAAGAAAUCCUUCGGGAUGUAAAGCCCUGUUGUAUGGGAAGAGCAGAAGACGGUACCAUACGAGGAAGCCCCGGCAAACUACGUG
rnacentral:rRNA from 1 species